CAGUAGCCGCGGGAAUACGUAGGGUGCGAGCGUUAAUCGGAAUUACUGGGCGUAAAGCGUGCGCAGGCGGUUGUGUAAGACAGGUGUGGAAUCCCCGGGCUUAACCUGGGAAUGGCGCUUGUGACUGCAAAGCUAGAGUGCGGCAGAGGGGGAUGGAAUUCCACGUGUAGCGGUGAAAUGCGUAGAGAUGUGGAGGAACACCAGUGGCGAAGGCGACUCUCUGGUCUGUAACUGACGCUGAGGAGCGAAAGCGUGGGGAGCGAACAGGAUUAGAUACCCGGGUAGUCCCUGUCUCUUAUAC
rnacentral:rRNA from 1 species